rnacentral:rRNA from 1 species
UGGGGGAUAUUGCACAAUGGGCGAAAGCCUGAUGCAGCGACGCCGCGUGGGGGAUGAAGGCCUUCGGGUUGUAAACUUCUUUUGCUCUGAACAAGGCAUGCCUUUUGGGUGUGUUGAGUGUAGGGGUUGAUUAGCGCCGGCUAACUACGUGCCAGCAGCCGCGGUAAUACGUAGGGCGCGAGCGUUGUCCGGAAUUAUUGGGCGUAAAGGGCUUGUAGGUGGCUGGUUGCGUCUGUCGUGAAAGCUCAUGGCUUAACUGUGGGUUUGCGGUGGGUACGGGCUGGCUUGAGUGCAGUAGGGGAGGCUGGAAUUCCUGGUGUAGCGGUGGAAUGCGCAGAUAUCAGGAGGAAUACCGGUGGCGAAGGCGGGUCUCUGGGCUGUUACUGACGCUGAGGAGCGAAAGCGUGGGGAGCGAACAGG